GCUGGGCGUGGUGUUGUGUGCCUGUAGUCCCAGCUACUUGGGAGGCUGAGGCAGGAGAAUUGCUUUAACCCAGGGGAGGCAGAGGUUGCAGUGAGCCGAGAUCACGCCACUGCACUCCAGCCUGGGUGACAGAGCAAGACUCUGUCUCAA
rfam:Gorilla gorilla gorilla genomic chromosome, chr11, whole genome shotgun sequence